rnacentral:misc_RNA from 1 species
GAUGAAGAACGCAGCGAAAUGCGAUAAGUAAUGUGAAUUGCAGAAUUCAGUGAAUCAUCGAAUCUUUGAACGCACAUUGCGCCCGGUAGUAUUCUGCCGGGCAUGCCUGUCCGAGCGUCAUUGCUGCCCUCAAGCACGGCUUGUGUGUUGGGCCUCCGUCCUCCUCCCGGGGGACGGGCCCGAAAGGCAGCGGCGGCACCGCGUCCGGUCCUCGAGCGUAUGGGGCUUCGUCACCCGCUCUUGUAGGCCCGGCCGGCGCUUGCCGACACAUCAAUCUUUUUUCCAGGUUGACCUCGGAUCAGGUAGGGAUACCCGCUGAACUUAAGCAUAUCAAUAAGCGGAGGA